rnacentral:rRNA from 1 species
UACGUAGGCAGCGAGCGUUGUUCGGAGUUACUGGGCGUAAAGAGUGUGUAGGCGGUUUUCUAAGUUUGGUGUGAAAUCUCCCGGCUCAACUGGGAGGGUGCGCCGAAGACUGGAAGGCUUGAGUAUGGGAGAGGUAAGCGGAAUUCCUGGUGUAGCGGUGAAAUGCGUAGAUAUCAGGAGGAACACCUGCGGUGUAGACGGCUUACUGGACCAUAACUGACGCUGAGGCACGAAAGCGUGGGUAGCAAACAGG